CCAUCUGACCUCGUCGGUGCCCAUGGCGCACGUCUCCGUACGCCUGUAUUCUGCCCCGCCCCUCAACGGCCUCCGGCCAAACUCGCCGGUGUGUCGUCCCGUCUGCCGGUAUCGCACAACAUUAACCGUGGCCCCGCCCACCGAUGAGCUCGCAACCUCCCACGCCGUCGCGCUUAUCUCCACCAGGAUCGGACACCACUACUCUGGAAUCCAGUCCACCUCGUCAGGGUAGCAUCUUGAUUCGGAAAAGAAUCAAGUACGAAUGGAGUAUGGCAGGAUUCACCCACCCCAUACACAUCAGAACUAGGACAGUGCACUGCUUGUUAUGCUCGGUGGAGGCUAUGUUUGGCGUUACACGGCAUUCUGGACAUCAUUUGGCGUACAAGAGAGGACGACGUUAGCCAAACAGAAGCUGAGAGACAUGUUGUUACUUGAACGGGUUUAGGCACACUAUGAAUUGCAAUCUCAAUUUCCUGAAAGCAUAUGUAAUAAAUAGAAAAAUAGGAUUUUUAUGUUCGUCCGAAACAAAUUAUGUUCUGUUUCAAUCCAGUGGAUGGGAACAACAUUUGCUUCAUCGUAAACAAAAUGUACGGAACAAUGGAUGCCACUUUUUGUUAGAUGGAAGCAACUCUCAGUUCCGUGGAA